UGAUAAAUCUUAUCUGAUUACUCCUAUCCAUUUAAGUUGUACACAAGAUUACACAUGAUAACAAAAUCUAAAUUACCAAUGAGUUUUAACAACUAAAAUCAACUCUAUAUAAAGCUGUGAGUGUCAAAAGAAAUGUCAGAAGUAAAGCUUGUUAGCUCAUCUACUUAAAUGGCUGUGAAAUCAGCAAGCAUAAUGACCAUGGUGAUGGUGGUGAUGGUGCUGAUGCUUGCGGAAACUGCAAAGUCUGACGGUUGUGACGAUUGUAAUCGAAAGUGUGCCAAGAAAUGCUACAUCAGAGGACAAUGGGACUUUGAAUGCUUAAACCAUUGUGUAACCAAGUGUUUUCAAAGUCCUGUAUGUAAUGGUACUCACUCGCUUCCUGCAGGUAGUUUUUCAUCAUACAUUUUGUUCAUAUACGAAUAUAGCAAACAAGUAUUUUGUAUAAUUACUCAUCGUAACUAACUCUUUUACGUUGAUUUCAGGUGUUGAUCGAGAUGGAAACAGAGGUUCUGGUGGAAUAUUACAGGGAAUAAAUUAGAGUACGAUGAUACGAUAACUUGGUGUUGGAAGUAUGUGUGUGACAGAGCUCUGAAUUGUUACAUGUAUCAGUUAUUCAGUUUAAUAAUGGAACAUGCCUGAGUUCAGUUGUUGUUU
rnacentral:lncRNA from 1 species